rnacentral:rRNA from 1 species
CGUACACUCCUACGGGAGGCAGCAGUGGGGAAUUUUGGACAAUGGGCGAAAGCCUGAUCCAGCCAUGCCGCGUGCAGGAUGAAGGCCUUCGGGUUGUAAACUGCUUUUGUACGGAACGAAACGGCCUUUUCUAAUAAAGAGGGCUAAUGACGGUACCGUAAGAAUAAGCACCGGCUAACUACGUGCCAGCAGCCGCGGUAAUACGUAGGGUGCAAGCGUUAAUCGGAAUUACUGGGCGUAAAGCGUGCGCAGGCGGUUAUGUAAGACAGUUGUGAAAUCCCCGGGCUCAACCUGGGAACUGCAUCUGUGACUGCAUAGCUAGAGUACGGUAGAGGGGGAUGGAAUUCCGCGUGUAGCAGUGAAAUGCGUAGAUAUGCGGAGGAACACCGAUGGCGAAGGCAAUCCCCUGGACCUGUACUGACGCUCAUGCACGAAAGCGUGGGGAGCAAACAGGAUUAGAAACCCCUGUAGUCCCAUGA